rnacentral:rRNA from 1 species
UACUCAUGCCGAUACCCUUAGUAAUGGCGAAUGAACAGGGAUCAGCUCAGCAUGGAAAUUGGGGCCCUCGGCCUUGAAUUGUAGUCUCGAGAUGUAUCGCCACGGAGGCGCAGAUGUAAGCCUCUUGGAAAGGAGCAUCAACGAGGGUGAGAGUCCCGUUUGUCAUCUGCAGUCCCCCGUGCACGGAAUACCUUCUAAGAGUCGCGUUCCUCGGAAUUGGAGCGUAAAUUGGGUGGUAAAUUUCAUCUCAAGCUAAAUAUUGGUUCGAGACCGAUAGCAAACAAGUACCCUGAGGGAAAGAUGAAAAGGACUUUGAAAAGAGAGUUAAAAGUGCCUGAAAUUGCUGAAAGGGAAGCGAAUGGAACCAGUGUUGCUUGGCAGGAUUGUCGGGUGCAUGACGCUCCUGAUCGUCUCCUGCCUUGUGUGUCAACGCCAGUUCGCGAUCGAGGAAAACUCCAGGGUCAUGGUAGCUUGUCUUCGGGUGAGUGAAUAGCCUUGGCAGAACUCAUUUGCGGACUGUUUCUUUCGUGUCUGGUUGCAGUGUCUUUGGCACCUUGGAGAUCUCGGCUUGGCCUGCCACAGUCGGGUGACCCAGGUGACUUGGGCAUUUCCCUGACGCAAAGACGAUGACUAAAUGGUUCUAUUCGACCCGUCUUGAAACACGGACCAUAGGAGUCUAACAUAUGUGCGAGUCCACGGGUGGUAAACCUGCUGGCGCAGUGAAAGCGACUGCUGGGAUCUUUGCACCAGCAACCGACCAAUCAAUUGAGAGAGGUUUGAGUAUGAGCAUAUCUGUUAGGACCCGAAAGAUGGUGAACUAUGCCUGAGAAGGGCAAACUCAGGGGAAACUCUGAUGGAGGCUCGUAGCGAUACUGACGUGCAAAUCGUUCGUCAUACUUGGGUAUAGGGGCGAAAGACUAAUCGAACCAUCUAGUAGCUGGUUCCCUCCGAAGUUUCCCUCAGGAUAGCUGGAGUUGAACAGUUUUAUCAGGUAAAGCGAAUGAUUAGAGGAAUCGGGGGCGCGUUGUCCUCGACCUAUUCUCAAACUUUAAAUGGGUAAGAUCCAGUGGUUACUUGGGUGAACUUCUGGGAUAAAUGACAACUCUAAGUGGGCCAUUUUUGGUAAGCAGAACUGGCGAUGAGGGAUGAACCUAACGUUGGGUUAAGGUGCUUAACUGCUCGCUCAUCAGAUACCAUAAAGGGUGUUGGUUCAUUUUAACAGCAGGACGGUGGUC